rnacentral:tRNA from 2 species
AGCUUAGUGGUGCAACUUGGUAGACACAACAGACUUAAACCCUGUACAAGUGAGGGUUCAACUCCCUCCUAAGCUAC